rnacentral:rRNA from 1 species
UACGUAGGCAGCGAGCGUUGUUCGGAUUUACUGGGCGUAAAGGGCGCGUAGGCGGCCACGACAAGUCACUUGUGAAAUCUCCGGGCUUAACUCGGAACGGUCAAGUGAUACUGUCGGGCUAGAGUACAGAAGGGGCAACUGGAAUUCUCGGUGUAGCGGUGAAAUGCGUAGAUAUCGAGAGGAACACCUGCGGCGAAGGCGGGUUGCUGGGCUGAUACUGACGCUGAUGCGCGAAAGCCAGGGGAGCGAACGGG